rnacentral:tRNA from 1 species
GCGCCCGUAGCUCAAUUGGAUAGAGCGCCGGACUACGAAUCCGAAGGCUACCCGUUCGAGCCGGGUCGGGCGCG